rnacentral:rRNA from 1 species
AGAGUUUGAUCCUGGCUCAGGAUGAACGCUGGCGGCGUGCGUAACACAUGCAAGUUGGACGACGGUGCCAUGAAGUGGUAACACGGAAUGGUAUACGGAGUAGCGGACGGGUGAGUAAAGCAUGAGAAGCUGUCCUACGGAGGGGGAUAACGUUCGGAAACGGACCCUAAUACCCCAUAGUCCGAGAGGUUAAAGGCAGAGAUGCGCGACGGGAGGUACUCGUGUCCUAUCAGCUAGUUGGUGAGGUAACGGCUCACCAAGGCGACGACGGGUAGCCGGCCUGAGAGGGUGACCGGCCACACUGGAACUGAGACACGGUCCAGACUCCUACGGGAGGCAGCAGUGGGGAAUAUUGGGCAAUGGGAGGAAUCCUGACCCAGCGACGCCGCGUGAACGAAGACGGCCUUCGGGUUGUAAAGUUCUUUUAUGUGGGAAGAAGGAAGUGACGGUACCACAUGAAUAAGCCCCGGCUAACUACGUGCCAGCAGCCGCGGUAAUACGUAGGGGGCGAGCGUUGUCCGGAAUUACUGGGCGUAAAGGGCACGCAGGCUGUGCUUCAAGUCAGCUGUAAAAGGAUGCGGCUUAACCGUGUUAUGCAGUUGAGACUGAGGUGCUGGAGUACCGGAGAGGCAAGUGGAAUUCCCAGUGUAGCGGUGAAAUGCGUAGAUAUUGGGAAGAACAUCGGUGGCGAAGGCGACUUGCUGGACGGUAACUGACGCUGAGGUGCGAAAGCCAGGGUAGCGAACGGGAUUAGAUACCCCGGUAGUCCUGGCCGUAAACGAUGAAUGCUAGGU